AUGACACUCGAGACUCAAGUGUGUAACGUUAUGUGUCCUACUCGAGGACCAUAUGGAGCCAUACACAACACGCUAACAUUACUAUACAUGUGUUUACAGUUACACGAGGGUCUAACAAAAACCCCGCAAUGUCUUUAAACUUUGCAACCUCGACUGAUUAGUAUGUAACGUGGUUAUGUGUAUUAAAAAAAGCAAAACAUUCGCCGGACAAGCUUCUUCUCCAUAAGAAAUAACGUGACCAAACGUUACAAGGUUACACCCCUUUGAUCAUUACUUUGCGUGUUCUAACACGAUUUUAGUGUAAAAAAUAACGCACAGAGAAUGCUCUAUUUUUUUUUUUAAAUAUCCACACAUUAAAAUGUCAACAGAAUAUCGAUUGCACAGCUCUAAGUAAAAAGGCGCCAGAUUCACGCCAUGUAUUCACAUGCCCUAGAUUACGAAUUAACACAGGCACCAAUGCAGUCAGCCCUCACAUAACUUCACAUAAAGCGUCUUUGGGACGUGUAUAUUUAAAGAUAUAACUAAAAGAAAAGAAAACAUCCAAUAUUUAUUUUACUUACUUUGCUCCUUUUAGGCAUGGCUGCUUUAAGCUUGUAUGCUUUCACAACAAAAAGGAAAUAAAUUAAAACCGUUUACGCACCGAUUAGUAAAGUGUAAAAACAAGGACUAGGAAACACUGAAGAACGCGUUAAUGUUCUAUCGGAACAGAAA